AGAAGGAAUGAAAGCACAGUCGAAAGAAGGAGGGAGUGAGCAAUUACUCCCAUAUCUUUGGUGUUGUUGUCCUUCUUUUCUUUUUUUUCUUCUUCUCCGGUUUCUUUUCUAGUUUCUUU
rnacentral:ribozyme from 13 species